GCCCUUUGGUGGCCUGAGGUGCUGUGGGGGCAGGAGUGGGCUGUCUUGUGGGGAAGGGAAAUGUAACGUAUCACCAAAUCUGUGGGGGAGUGGGGCUCUGUGGGGAAGAUGACUCAACCUUUCAAUUAUUCUGCUUUUGAGAGAAUUAUCUUCGCUGGCUCUCCAGGGCACACCUUAUUCAGCUCUGAGCGGUCUUUGCAAGUGAGGCCAAGGAGCCACCCUGAGCCAAAAGGGGAGCAUUAUGUCACCGGAAGCCCAAGCCCAGAGAACCAAAGGACCUCAGCAGCCAUGUCAAAGCCCCAUAGUGAAGCCGGGACUGCCUUCAUUCAGACCCAGCAGCUGCAUGCAGCCAUGGCUGACACAUUCCUGGAGCACAUGUGCCGCCUGGACAUUGAUUCACCACCCAUCACAGCCCGGAACACUGGCAUCAUCUGUACCAUUGGCCCAGCUUCCCGAUCAGUGGAGACGUUGAAGGAGAUGAUUAAGUCUGGAAUGAAUGUGGCUCGUCUGAACUUCUCUCAUGGAACUCAUGAGUACCAUGCAGAGACCAUCAAGAAUGUGCGCACAGCCACGGAAAGCUUUGCUUCUGACCCCAUCCUCUACCGGCCCGUUGCUGUGGCUCUAGACACUAAAGGACCUGAGAUCCGAACUGGGCUCAUCAAGGGCAGCGGCACUGCAGAGGUGGAGCUGAAGAAGGGAGCCACUCUCAAAAUCACGCUGGAUAACGCCUACAUGGAAAAGUGUGACGAGAACAUCCUGUGGCUGGACUACAAGAACAUCUGCAAGGUGGUGGAAGUGGGCAGCAAGAUCUACGUGGAUGAUGGGCUUAUUUCUCUCCAGGUGAAGCAGAAAGGUGCCGACUUCCUGGUGACGGAGGUGGAAAAUGGUGGCUCCUUGGGCAGCAAGAAGGGUGUGAACCUUCCUGGGGCUGCUGUGGACUUGCCUGCUGUGUCGGAGAAGGACAUCCAGGAUCUGAAGUUUGGGGUCGAGCAGGAUGUUGAUAUGGUGUUUGCGUCAUUCAUCCGCAAGGCAUCUGAUGUCCAUGAAGUUAGGAAGGUCCUGGGAGAGAAGGGAAAGAACAUCAAGAUUAUCAGCAAAAUCGAGAAUCAUGAGGGGGUUCGGAGGUUUGAUGAAAUCCUGGAGGCCAGUGAUGGGAUCAUGGUGGCUCGUGGUGAUCUAGGCAUUGAGAUUCCUGCAGAGAAGGUCUUCCUUGCUCAGAAGAUGAUGAUUGGACGGUGCAACCGAGCUGGGAAGCCUGUCAUCUGUGCUACUCAGAUGCUGGAGAGCAUGAUCAAGAAGCCCCGCCCCACUCGGGCUGAAGGCAGUGAUGUGGCCAAUGCAGUCCUGGAUGGAGCCGACUGCAUCAUGCUGUCUGGAGAAACAGCCAAAGGGGACUAUCCUCUGGAGGCUGUGCGCAUGCAGCACCUGAUAGCUCGUGAGGCUGAGGCAGCCAUGUUCCACCGCAAGCUGUUUGAAGAACUUGUGCGAGCCUCAAGUCACUCCACAGACCUCAUGGAAGCCAUGGCCAUGGGCAGCGUGGAGGCUUCUUAUAAGUGUUUAGCAGCAGCUUUGAUAGUUCUGACGGAGUCUGGCAGGUAGGGCCCUAAGGGCAGGUAACACUGUUAGGAUAACCAGCCUCUUGCUCUACCUGCUCUAGGAGAAGACAGCCAGGCCCAACCUGGCAUCUGGGCACAGAGCCUCUUCUCGUCUGUAGGAACACCGCCAGGGAGGUCAUGGCAGGGCAGGACCAAAGGGUCCUGUGGCUCAGUAGGCACAGUAGAUGUCACAGGCACUUGGUGAAGGACUGGUUUCUGUGGAGUCUUGAUCUUGGCUCAGCUCAGAAUCUCCAGUGAUUGGGCUCCUCUUGGCCUUUGUCCCCAGGAACGUGUUCCUCACCAGCUGUCCGGUGACUCUUCCCCUCCCUCUCCUUUUGUGACAAAGCUCUGACAAAGCUCUGUCCCCCUCUUGUCCCUCUGGACGGAUGUUGCUCCCCUAGAUUGCCCGUGAGGCAGAGGCCGCCAUCUACCACUUGCAAUUAUUUGAGGAACUCCGCCGCCUGGCGCCCAUUACCAGCGACCCCACAGAAGCCACCGCCGUGGGUGCCGUGGAGGCCUCCUUCAAGUGCUGCAGUGGGGCCAUAAUCGUCCUCACCAAGUCUGGCAGGUCUGCUCACCAGGUGGCCAGAUACCGCCCACGUGCCCCCAUCAUUGCUGUGACCCGGAAUCCCCAGACAGCUCGUCAGGCCCACCUGUACCGUGGCAUCUUCCCUGUGCUGUGCAAGGACCCAGUCCAGGAGGCCUGGGCUGAGGACGUGGACCUCCGGGUGAACUUUGCCAUGAAUGUUGGCAAGGCCCGAGGCUUCUUCAAGAAGGGAGAUGUGGUCAUUGUGCUGACCGGAUGGCGCCCUGGCUCCGGCUUCACCAACACCAUGCGUGUUGUUCCUGUGCCGUGAUGGACCCCAGAGCCCCUCCUCCAGCCCCUGUCCCACCCCCUUCCCCCAGCCCAUCCAUUAGGCCAGCAACGCUUGUAGAACUCACUCUGGGCUGUAACGUGGCACUGGUAGGUUGGGACACCAGGGAGGAAGAUCAACGCCUCACUGAAACAUGGCUGUGUUUGCAGCCUGCUCUAGUGGGACAGCCCAGAGCCUGGCUGCCCAUCAUGUGGCCCCACCCAAUCAAGGGAAGAAGGAGGAAUGCUGGACUGGAGGCCCCUGGAGCCAGAUGGCAAGAGGGUGACAGCUUCCUUUCCUGUGUGUACUCUGUCCAGUUCCUUUAGAAAAAAUGGAUGCCCAGAGGACUCCCAACCCUGGCUUGGGGUCAAGAAACAGCCAGCAAGAGUUAGGGGCCUUAGGGCACUGGGCUGUUGUUCCAUUGAAGCCGACCCUGGCCCUGGCCCUUACUUGCUUCUCCAGCUCUCUAGGCCUCUCCAGUUUGCACCUGUCCCCGCCCUCCACUCAGCUGUCCUGCAGCAAACACUCCACCCUCCACCUUCCAUUUUCCCCCACUACUGCAGCACCUCCAGGCCUGUUGCUAUAGAGCCUACCUGUAUGUCAAUAAACAACAGCUGAAGCA